UGUUAAAAAUUUCAUCCAUUUUUACUGCUAAAAAUUUGUGUGACUAACGAAAUAAUUAGAUAGUUUCACAUAAUUUGUCCAAUGAUCAGUUUUUAAUAGUAAAAAUAGAUAGAAUUUUUAAUA
rfam:Gossypium raimondii Chr05_contig_1362, whole genome shotgun sequence.